GACGAACGCUGGCGGCGUGCUUAACACAUGCAAGUCGAACGGAAAGGCCUGCUUUCCCUUGUGGAUUGCGGGUACUCGAGUGGCGAACGGGUGAGUAACACGUGAGUGAUCUGCCCCCAACUUGGGUAUAAGCCUGGGAAACUGGGUCUAAUUCCCGAUAGGACUGCAGGGUGGUGCCUGUGGUGGAAAACGAUUUUCUAGUGGUUGGGGAUGAGCUCGCGGCCUAUCAGCUUGUUGGUGGGGUAAUGGCCUACCAAGGCGGCGACGGGUAGCCGGCCUGAGAGGGUGGACGGCCACAUUGGGACUGAGAUACGGCCCAGACUCCUACGCAAGGCAGCAGUGGGGAAUAUUGCACAAGGGGCGGAAGCCUGAUGCAGCGACGCCGAGUGGGGGAUGACGGCCUUCGGGUUGUAAACUCCUUUCGACCGCGAGGAAGCCACCUGGUUGGAAGGGUGGUGACGGUAGUGGGAGAAGAAGCACCGGCUAACUACGUG
rnacentral:rRNA from 1 species